rnacentral:lncRNA from 1 species
GCCGAAUACAACAGUGAAAUGCUUACUUACAAGCCCUUAACCAACAAUGCAGUUUUAAGAAAAUACCUAAAAAAGGAGAUAAAAGUAACAAGUAAUUAAAUAGCAGCAGUAAAAUAACAAUAGUGAGGUUUUAUACAGGGGUACCUGUACAGAGUCAAUGUGGAGGCUAUAUACAGGGGGUACCAGUACAGAGUCAAUGUGGAGGCUAUAUACAGGGGUACUGGUACAGAGUCAAUGUACAGAGUCAAUGUGGAGGCUAUAUACAGGGGUACCGGUACAGAGUGAAUGUGGAGGCUAUAUACAGGUGGUACCGGUACAGAGUCAAUGUGGAGGCUAUAUACAGGGGUACUGGUACAGAGUCAAUGUGGAGGCUAUAUACAGGGGGUACCGGUACAGAGUCAAUGUACAGAGUCAAUGUGGAGGCUAUAUAAGUAAUAUGUACAUGUAGGUGGAGUUGUUAAAGUGACUAUGCAUAGAUAAUAACAGAGUAGCAGCAGCAUAGAAGAGGGGGGGAGAGACAAUGCAAAUAGUCUGUAAAGCCAUUUGAUACAAUUUUCAGGAGUCUUAUGUCUUGGGGGUAGAAGCUGUUUAGAAGCCUCUUGAACCUAGACUUGGGGCACCGGUACCACUUGCCGUGCGGUAGCAGAGAGAACAGUCUGACUAGGGUGGCUGGAGUCACUGACAAUUUUUAGGGCCCUCUUCUGACACCGCCUGGAAUCAGAAGUCCUGGAUGGCAGGAAGCUUGGCACCAGUGAUGUACUGGGCCGUAGGCACUACCCUCUGUCGUGCCUUGUGGUUAGAGGCCAAGCAGUUGCCAUACCAGGGAGUGUUGCAACCCGUCAGGAUGCUCUCGAUGGUGCAGCUGUAGAACCUUUUGAGGAUCUGAGUACCCAUACCAAAUCUUAGAAAUACAGCUAAACCUAGGGUAUGGCUAAAUGGGGUGUGUAGAAAUACAGCUAAACUAGGGGUAUGGCUAAAUGGGGUGUGUAGAAAUACAUGUGGGGGUCAGGGAGAGAGUAAAGUUAUGUUUUAGACUGGUGGUGGUCAGGGAGAGAGUUGAGUUAUGUUCUAGACUGGUGGGGGUCAGGGAGAGAGUUGAGUUAUGUACUAGACUGGUGGGGGUCAGGGAGAGAGUUGAGUUAUGUACUAGACUGGUGGGGGUCAGGGAGAGAGUCGAGUUAUGUUCUAGACUGGUGGGGGUCAGGGAGAGAGUUAUGUACUAGACUGGUGGGGGUCAGGGAGAGAGUUGAGUUAUGUUCUAGACUGGUGGGGGUCAGGGAGAGAGUUGAGUUAUGUUCUAGACUGGUGAGGGUCAGGGAGAGAGUUGAGUUAUGUCCUAGACUGGUGGGGGUCAGCGAGAGAGGUGAGUUAUGUACUAGACUGGUUGGGGUCAGGGAGAGAGUUAUGUACUAGACUGGUGGGGGUCAGGGAGAGAGUUGAGUUAUGUACUAGAUUGCUGGGGGUCAGGGAGAGAGUUGAGUUAUGUUCUAGACUUGUGGGGGUCAGGGAGAGAGUAGCGUUAUGUUUUAGACUGGUGGUGGUCAGGGAGAGAGUUGAGUUAUGUUCUAGACUGGUGGGGGUCAGGGAGAGAGUUGAGUUAUGUACUAGACUGGUGGGGGUCAGGGAGAGAGUUGAGUUAUGUACUAGACUGGUGGGGGUCAGGGAGAGAGUCGAGUUAUGUUCUAGACUGGUGGGGGUCAGGGAGAGAGUUAUGUACUAGACUGGUGGGGGUCAGGGAGAGAGUUGAGUUAUGUUCUAGACUGGUGGGGGUCAGGGAGAGAGGUGAGUUAUGUACUAUACUGGUUGGGGUCAGGGAGAGAGUUGAGUUAUGUACUAGACUGGUGGGGGUCAGGGAGAGAGGUGAGUUAUGUACUAUACUGGUUGGGGUCAGGGAGAGAGUUGAGUUAUGUACUAGACUGGUGGGGGUCAGGUAGAGAGGUGAGUUAUGUACUAGAAUGGUGGGGGUCAGGGAGAGAGUAGAGUAUUGUACUAGACUGGUGGGGGUCAGGGAGAGAGUUGAGUUAUGUUCUAGACUGGUGGGGGUCAGGGAGAGAGUAGAGUUAUGUACUAGACUGGUGGGGGUCAGGGCGAGAGUUGAGUUAUGUACUAGACUGGUG